rnacentral:piRNA from 1 species
UCUGAGGGGAAAGUCAGGGAUACCCAGG